rnacentral:misc_RNA from 1 species
GUCCUAACUGCUAAAUCUGAGGUAGGAAGACUUGGUUUCUUCUUUUUUAAUUGUUAGGUGUUUGUUUGCUGUCAGCCUAUUUAAUUAGUGGCCAGCAUUUACUUUUCAUUCUUUAGGUGUUGGAAUCCUGACCUGAGUAAACCAAAUUAGAGCAAGAAAUUUGUCCAUGUUGUGGCAUAUUGUUGGUUUCCUCUGCUCAAAAUUCUGCUUUUACAAACUGUGAAAGGAAAUUUUCUUGGAUUUGAAAUUGAACUUUAAACAUGCAUCAUUGGUGAGUUUAUGGGUGUUCAUGAGUAUGCCUUCUCAUACAUUCAACUGUGUUAGGGCAUUGAUUCUGACAUGUUGAUGCCAUAUAUCAAAUAUGAAAAGAUGACCAGGACUGAAUUUCUGUUGUCAUCAUGUACUAGAUUUUGUUUCUUAUCAUUAGAUCUUUUGUUGCAUGUAUUAUAGUUAUGAAUCAUCACCUCAACAAAACCUAAUACCUAUUCUUGGGCUUGCCCUGAAUUUUGUCAUGUACAAAAUGGUCAAAAGCACUUUCAUCAUGUCAUCAUUUUUUUCGUAUUCUCUCUUUGAAAUGGAAAAAUUUUUGGCCAGUUAACAUGCAACAUUUUCUUCUUUUAGUUUUCCAGUCUUUUAUCUAUGCCACAAAUUACUGAAACAUGUAGGAACUUUUCCAGCUCGUCUCCACAGAUUUAUUUUUGGUUUCACAAUUAAAUGAUCUUUGCAUUUUUACAGGUUGACUGCCAUGUGAAGAUAUUUCCCAAUGUCGCUCAUGGGUGGACAGUGAGAUAUGAUGUUGAAGAUGAAACUGCUGUGAAAAGCGCAGCGGAGGCCCAUGGAAACUUGUUGGAGUGGUUCACCAAGCAUGUUAAGUGAAACAAUAAAGACCAGUUAUAUUAUGUAGAACUGCUAGGCUAUUUAUCUUGGCAGUUAGAAAAGUACUGCAGUAUACGAUGCAUGUACAAUAAAAGGAUGAAUGUUUUUAUGGUGAUAAAUUAUGAGGAGGAAGAAAUUUGGACAAGCUUGUGUUAAGACUACAAAGUGGAUUGAUUGUGAUGCCUCUACUGAUAACUACAGAGUGGUGGCUUUCAUGGAUCAAAUACAAGUGUUAAGAGACCUUAAAAGGAAUUGCUGGGUGACCAAAAAACAUGGAUUCCCUUGCCUGGGGAUGAUUUAUGAUAAACCUGAAACUAACCUGC